UUGGCUGGCUGAGAGCUUCCUUGGGGACUCGGCCACCCGGAGGGCGGCACAGCGGCCACUCUAGCCGCUGUCCCGGGAUUUGGCCUCGCUCUCUCGGCUGCAAGCUCUCUAUGGUGUUGGCGACAUGUGGCGCCUCCCAGGACUCCUGGGCCGAGCUCUUCCCCGUCUGCUGGGACCUGGCCUCCGGGGGGUGAGCUCUAAGUCCACCAGCCCAGAUGGCCCUCAGGCUGCCUCCUCUGCCCUGCUGGUCCCUGUGCCCAGCUUUGACAGGUCGGGCCCCCAUGGCCCAGGCCCAGGCACAAGCAGGGGCCCAAGGUCCCAUGGAUGGAAGGCUGCCUUCCAGUGGAUGUCUGCCUGUGUCUCCCCAAACACCCUGAGGGAUGCCAUAUCGUGGGGCACUCUGGCCGUGCUGGCCCUGCAGCUGGCAAGGCAGAUCCACUUCCAGGCAAACCUGCCAGCAGGACCUCUGCGAGCCGAGCGCUGCUCUUGGCGCAGUCCCCUGGACCAUUUCCUCUCGUCUCCCUUGUGGCACCCGUGCUCCUCGCUGCGGAGGCAUAUUCUCCCCAGCCCUGAUGGCCCAGCUCCCAGGCACACUGGCCUCAGGGAACCCAGGCUGAGCCCGGAAGAUCGGUCCAUUCAGGCCGAGGGCCUCUCUCCACACAGUUCCUUGAGAGGAGCUGGUCCUCAGGAUCCCUCUGAGGAAGACCCCAGUGAUGUCAACUUCCUGCAUGCCAGCAGUAGCUUCAGAUCCAAGGCAAAACCGGCCCAGCCUCAGCCCACUGGUGAAAAGCAGGAACAGGAGCAAUCCAAAACUCUUCCCCUUGAGGAGGCUGUGACUUCCAUUCAGCAGCUCUUCCAGCUCAGUGUUUCCAUCGCUUUCAACUUCCUGGGGACAGAGAACAUGAGGAAUGGGGACUACACGGUAGCCUUUUCUUACUUCCAGAAAGCAGCAGACCGCGGCUACAGCAAGGCACAGUACAACGUGGGCUUGUGUCACGAGCACGGCAGAGGCACCCCCAGGGACCUCAGCAAGGCCGCUCUUUAUUACCGGUUGGCUGCCAGUCAGGGCCACAGCCUGGCUCAGUACCGCUAUGCCAGGUGCCUGCUGCAGGGCCCAUCCUCCUCGUGGGACCCUGAGUGGCAGAGGGCAGUGUCCAUGCUGAAGCAGGCUGCAGACGCAGGCUUGAGAGAGGCUCAAGCUUUCCUCGGGGUGCUUUUCACCAAGGAGCCAUACCUGGAUGAGCAGAGGGCUGUGAAAUACCUUUGGCUUGCAGCCAACAAUGGGGACUCACAGAGCAGGUACCACUUGGGAAUUUGCUACGAGAAGGGCCUUGGUGUGCAGAGGAGUCUGGGAGAGGCUGUGAGAUGUUACCAGCAGUCAGCGGCUCUGGGGAAUGAGCCCGCCCAGGAGAGGCUGCGGGCCCUCUUUUCUGUGGAGGCAGCAGCCCCGGGGUCCAGCGACCUGGCAGUUAGAGGAUUGAAGUCCUUCUCCAGCCCCUCCCUCUGCAGCCUGAACACUCUGCUGGCAGGAACCUUGUGCCUCCCACAUGCCUCAAGCACAGGGAACCUUGGCCUCCUCUGUAGAAGCGGGCGUCUCGGAGCCAGCCCUGGAGCCCCCAGCAGGGCUCUCCCGCCUCGCCCCUACCCCUUGGAAAGGAGUCUCGUCAGACUGGGUUUUGGCUAAGUUGGUAGCCUUACAGACGAGCAGUGGAUACCUUCACAGUUAUUUCUGGUCUGUGCACAAAAAGGAUUCAUCCAGUGACCUGUGAAAAACUCUACUGAAUUGUCCAGAGACCCUGGUCCUCACCUUGGCCUGUGUCUUUGAGCAAAUCCCUUACCUUCUCCCUCCCUGUGCUUCAGUUUCCUCAGGCUGGGCCUACGUCACGUUUUUCCAACAUCUGAUGUGUGUGCCUCUGGGGGUUCACAAGAAGACUUUAAGUGGUACUUGAAUGAAUAUUUCUUAUUUUAGUAGUUGUAUAUUUAAUAUAUAAUGUAAAAAUGUGACUAGUGCAUUAUAGUUUCACAGAUAUUAAAAUAAUGAAUCAAUUUAAAGUUAAACACCGUGACAUUGCAUAAAGGGGAGCACAGAUCCAGAGAGGUGGCAAAAAUCGUGAGGGUGGUUCCUUGAACAGCUAAAACGUGGGAAGCACUGGAUCAGGUCAGCCCCCAGACCUUCUCACUCAGCCCUAAAGAUGGAACCUGUGGGUACUCGGAGAGAUACCACAACUUGAGUCCCAAAGAAGAGGCCAGUUAUCCACCCACCUUCCCGCAGAACCUUAAGCACCCACCCCAGCACAGUAGGAAAAGGAAAGUGUGUGAAGACUCAGAUCCUGGCCAUGUCAGCUUGAAGCCAUGACCUGACUUGCUAUGUCUCCUCAGUUGUAGACCAAGGGCAGCGGUAUCUGCCCUCCCAUCCUACAGGGCUGAUGUGGGGCAUUUCACUGAGGAAGGGACCUGGGUGCUCACUUAGGCCCGAGGAAGCAGAGAGAUGCCCAUGGUUACAUGGCUUUAUGAGUCUCCAGGCCUGGAGAGGACCCGCCUCCUGACUCCUGGCCCUGGGCUCUUUUGCACCCGUUCACCCUGUAAUUUUGUGUGAAAGUGUUGUCAUCGUCCUGCUGAUGUGAAGGAGUAAAUGGAGGUUGAGCACCUGGAGUCUUGGAGCAGCAAGUGUCGAUGUUGAGAUCCUCGUCUGUGAAGGGUGUGCCAGAAAUGGAUGGCAGUUUAAUAAAGCAGAUGCUGGAUUUUCUCAUCA